GACGAACGCUGGCGGCGUGCUUAACACAUGCAAGUCGAACGCUGAAGCCGCUUCUGUGGGGGAUGCUCGGCGAACGGAUGGGUAACACGCAGGCAACCUGCCCCCGGCUCUGGGAUAACUCAAUGCAGUUGAGGGUGAUACCGACUGUGAACGCUCGCCGCAUGCUUGGGUGGGGGAAGGGGUUUUCGGCUGGGGGUGGGCCCGCGGCCUAUCAGCUUGUUGGUGGGGUAGUGGCUUACCAAGGCGACGACGGGUAGCCGGCCUGAGAGGGUGACCGGCCACACUGGGACUGAGAUACGGCCCAGACUCCUACGGGAGGCAGCAGUGGGGAAUAUUGCGCAAUGGGCGGAAGCCUGACGCAGCGACGCCGCGUGGGGGAUGACGGCCUUCGGGUUGUAAACCUCUUUCGGCAGGGACGAAGCGUGAGUGACGGUACCGGCAGAAGAAGCACCGGCCAACUACGUG
rnacentral:rRNA from 1 species